GGAGAGGUGUCCGAGUGGCUGAAGGAGCACGCCUGGAAAGUGUGUAUACGCUAACCGCGUAUCGAGGGUUCGAAUCCCUCUCUCUCCG
rnacentral:tRNA from 2 species